GAUGAACGCUGGCGGCGUGCCUAAUACAUGCAAGUCGAGCGAACAGACGAGGAGCUUGCUCCUCUGACGUUAGCGGCGGACGGGUGAGUAACACGUGGAUAACCUACCUAUAAGACUGGGAUAACUUCGGGAAACCGGAGCUAAUGCCGGAUAAUAUAUUGAACCGCAUGGUUCAAUAGUGAAAGACGGUUUUGCUGUCACUUAUAGAUGGAUCCGCGCCGCAUUAGCUAGUUGGUAAGGUAACGGCUUACCAAGGCAACGAUGCGUAGCCGACCUGAGAGGGUGAUCGGCCACACUGGAACUGAGACACGGCCCAGACUCCUACGGGAGGCAGCAGUAGGGAAUCUUCCGCAAUGGGCGAAAGCCUGACGGAGCAACGCCGCGUGAGUGAUGAAGGUCUUCGGAUCGUAAAACUCUGUUAUUAGGGAAGAACAAAUGUGUAAGUAACUAUGCACGUCUUGACGGUACCUAAUCAGAAAGCCACGGCUAACUACGUG
rnacentral:rRNA from 1 species